UAAAUGUUAAAUUUAUUAAUAUAGAAGUGAAAGAAGAGGGAAAAUGAGUUUUUGUAAAAUAUACAAAACAUCCUAUUGCAUUCUUUAAUACAACUGGAAAUUUUACUUUAGCCAGUGUAAAAAUAGUAGAACCAUGCAACUUCAAGCUCUUCGCAGAAGUGAUGAGCAUGUGAUAUAUCAAUGUAUAUAAUUAGACAUUGGUUAUUAGCUGUUACCCUGCAUAAACACAUCUGGUACUCAUGCAUUGCCUUCUAGGCUAAAAAUGUCAACGUUAGAUAUUCAGUAAACUCAAUUGGAAAGAUCUAUAUAAUAUUAGAAUUUCCUAAGAAAAGCCAUGUCCCUAGGAUAGAAAUUUACCUCAAUAACCAUAUAACACAAAACACUUGGCACAGUAGCAAAGAAGUUGCCGAAGUGUUCUAGUCUCAUCCAAUUGUAAGCUUUGUCUUUCAUGUUCUACUCAAAUCAUUUUUCAUUUGUUUCUUUUGGUGUAAUUUUGAAAUGAUUCUGAUAUAUUUCAGGUCAAAUUAAUAACACCCAGUUGCAAAUAUCUCUUCCAACGUUUUAUACAUAUAUCUACUUUGAAAUUUAAACCAAUAGUAUAUAAAGCCUAAGAAUGAACAUUGAUUUGACAAAUUCAGAGAAAUGGAGUAUAAAACAGAUGUGAUGUUGCAAAAUUUCUGUCAAUUUUCUGGUAUAAUACUGAAGUAUCAGCCUUCAAUUUCUAAACACAGUUGUGAGCUUAUAACUGGAUGUGACAUGUAUUAAAGAUUUAGAACAAAGCUAAUUCUUUGCAUUAAGUAAGGGUAUAGGAUCAUGAGUGCUGUAGUGCCGUACCUCAGGCACCUGUAACUAAAGCUCUUUAAAGAAAAUGAAGGCGUACCCAGUAAUCCAUGUUUAGUGCAUAAGUAUUAAAAGGUACAUAUUCUGAAGUUUUAUGAAGAUAAUUCUGAAGAUUUAUGAAGACUCUAUGCUUUUUCAUUUUAAAGAGCAGCAGGUCUUAAAAUGUGUCUUACUAGCUUUGAACUGGGAAUAAUGUUCAAGUCUGCACCCAGCGAGUCCUUUACAUUCAAGAUCACACUGGACAGUGCAGGACAAACACGUCAUAAACUAGAAUGUUUUGCGGAUGCACGUAACUUUGCCAUGUCCUCUGCUAUAGAACUGGAUCUAUGUGCCCUUAAGAAGGGAGAAGAAAAGCAGUUAAAUAGAAAUAAGAAAAUAUGAUAACUGUAUUAUGUUAGAACAUGUAGCUUCAGAGAUGUUAUUAACUCUUAUUUCGUAUAGAAAAACUGGAAGGAGAGAAUGGUGAACAUGAAUGAAAUAAUCCACUUUUAGACUUACCAAGAUGUUUCUUGAGUAUCCUAUCCACUUGUCUUACCCAUGAACAAAUAUUCAUUCACAACACAGACGUUUCUGUAGCACUUGAUCUGUAGUUAGAUUGGAUCCCGGGAAAAAUACUUCUGGACACAGG
ensembl:lncRNA